rnacentral:rRNA from 1 species
AUUGAACGCUGGCGGCAGGCCUAACACAUGCAAGUCGAACGAGUGGCGGACGGGUGAGUAAUGUCUGGGAAACUGCCUGAUGGAGGGGGAUAACUACUGGAAACGGUAGCUAAUACCGCAUACCAUCUGAUGUGCCCAGAUGGGAUUAGCUAGUAGGUGGGGUAAAUGCUGAACUAGGCGACGCUCCCUAGCUGGUCUGAGAGGAUGACCAGCGACACUGGAACUGAGGGACGGUCCAGACUCCUACGGGAGGAAGCAGUGGGGAAUAGUGCACAAUGGGCGCAAGCCUGAUGCAGCAAUGCCGCGUGUAUGAAAAAGGCCUUCGGGAUUUAAAGUACUUUCAGCGGGGAGGCGUUACCCGCAGAAGAAGCACCUGCUAACUCCGUGCCAGCAGCCGCGGUAAUAC